ensembl:lncRNA
AUGUCUGUUGUAUGGUUGUCUUUAUGUUUAGUAUGCAUUUGGUUGUUUGUGUACUGUGAUAGAGGGGGUCUAUGUCCCUGUGUAGUAUUGUAUAGUAUUUAUACGUUGUCCAUGUGUUGUGAAUGCUUGGAUUGUGUCCUGCUGCAUGGCAGAAUUGGGUUGGACUGGAUGAGACUCUACUGUAUAUUUAUAAUCUUAUAUUAUCUGUUUAGAACUGGAUUAUCUGAGGCCCCUUCUACACAGCUGUAGUGAAUUAUCUGGCAGUGUGGAGUCAAAAUAAUCCAGUUCAAAGCAGAUAAUAUAAGAUUCUAAAUGGGUUAUAUAGCUGUUUGGAAGGGCCUUGAGUCUACAGUGCCAUAUAAUCCAGUUAAAAUCUGAUAAUCUGUGGAAGAGGCCUAAGUGAGGCCUAACUGUGCCUGUCCCCUGGGCUGAGUAGGUUGCUAGGAGACCAAGUGGGUGGAGCUUAGCCUUCAAACUGGCAGCAAUUGGAUAAAAACAAUUAUUCCUCUCCCUCUAAUUAGGACUUUAUUUUUCUUUUCUUUUUGUUGUAUCAACCUAGAGCCGUGGAUGAUGGGUUGUGUUCUCAAAUUUCAAGGUUGGGGGGCCUGUAUCGUUGUUUUGUCCGCUGCCCUGAUGCCAUCACUCUUUUAUAUAUAUAGAUGUUGCAAUAUAUAUAGAUUACUCAUUAUAUCUUGGUUAUAAUGGAGCCUAAAGGCACCAGAUACUGUCUGAUUCUGGAAGCUAAGCAGGGCCAUCCCUGGUUAGUCCUUGGAUGGGAGACCGCAGGCUCUCCUUCAGAGGAAGGAAAUGGCAAAACCACCUCUGAGAAUUCCUUGAACGCUAUGAAAAUAUCAUUGCAUUGUUUUAAGGAUUUUAAGGCACAUAAAUGGAUGCUGUUCACUUUCUUUGUAGUUUCUUGUUUCCUCUGACGAUGGCCAUUCUUCACAAUGGAACCCAGGUUUUGUGCAUUUUAUACUUAAUUACUUGUAUUGUGUUUGUGUCUUGUACUUAGAAUCAUAGUUGGAAGAGAAAUACAGGGGCCUUCCAGUCCACCCUCCUUCUGCAAUACAAGAAGACACCAUCCAAACCCUCCUGACAGAUGACCACCCAGCCUGAGCUUGAAAAUCUCCAAAGAAAGAGACUCCAACUGGACCCCAAGGCAGCAGAACAUUUAACCGCUUUUUUCGUGUCAGGAGCGAUUUGAGAAACUGCAAGUCACUUCUGGUGUGAGAGAAUUGGUCGUCUGCAAGGACGUUGCCCAGGAGACAUUGCACGGGUGUUUUGAUGUUUUUACCAUUGUUGUGGGAGGCUUCUCUCAUGUCCCUGCAUGGAGCUGGGGCUGAUAGAGGGAGCUCAUCCGUGCUCUUCCUGGGUUGGAUUCGAACCUGGCAGGCUUCAGGUGAGCAACCCAACCUUCAAGUUACAAGGCUUUAACCCACUGAGCCACCGAGGGCUCUUAUCUCUUAUGAAUGGAUAGAAGGAUGAGUCAGAAGGGUCCUCCAGAGGUCAUCUAAUCCAGCCCCCCUUCUGCAAGGCACAAUAAAGCCCUCUGAACAGAUGGCCAUCCUGCCUAGAAUCACCUUGGCUUUUUUAGCUGCUGCAUCACAUUACUGACUCAUGUUCUACUCAUGGUCUCUACGACUUCUUGGUCCCUUUCCAAUGCUUUAAAGCCAGGUUUCCCCAGAUAACCACUUCUACUUGCAGAGACCAUGGACUUAAGAUAGUCAUGCCAUUCAAAAAAGCCAGCAUGAAGUCCUGGUAUUUCUGGAUGAAAAUAUUGCAGCCUCGGCAACAGUGCAAAAGGUCAGACCGGUGAUUCUUUCCCAUUCCCUUCCCUCCCUUGCCUUUUUUAUUUUAUCCCCAUUUUUUGGGGGACGGGGGAGCCCUUUGAUGGGCAGAGAUGAAGAAACAGCCGGUGAUCCUUAUGAUCCCAAUCUGGCUCCUCGGUUACCCAAGGCUUUAAAGAGAAGAUCAAGGCCUCGCUUCUUUCGGAACAAUUAUUAUGCGCACACUCCGUGCUGGAGAUAGAAAAUCAGACAUCCUUUGGAGGUUUCCGUCUAGAGAAAAAUAUUUGAAUGCAGGAAACUCAGGACCCAAGUUGCCAGACAGAAAAUAGGAAAGACCCUGAAUCUCAUAAAUUCGGAGCCCACUUGGAAAUUUGCAAAGAAGACCACAAACAAAGAGUAAACUAGUAAACAACACCUGUUUUGCUUUUUCAUGGUAGACAAGUGGUGCCAAAUUAGCACAAAACUCUGUAAUCUAUAUACAGUAGGGUCUCGCUUAUCCAAGCCUCACUUAUCCAAGCUUCUGGAUUAUCCAAGCCAUUUUUGCAGUCAAUGUUUUCAAUAUAUCGUGAUAUUUUGGUGCUAAAUCCAUAAAUACUGUAAUUACAACUUAACAUUACUGCGUAUUGAACUACUUUUUAUGUCAAAUGUUUUGUAUAACAUGAUGUUUUGGUGCUAAAUUCGUAAAUACAGUAAUUACUACAUAGCAUCAAUGUUUUCAAUAUAUCAUGAUAUUUUGGUGCUACAUCCGUAAAUACUGUAAUUACAACUUAACAUUACUGCGUAUUGAACUACUUUUUCUGUCAAAUGUUUUGUAUAACAUGAUGUUUUGGUGCUUAAUUUGUAAAAUCAUAACCUAAUUUGAUGUGAGCGGCCGCUGUUAGCUCCAGCUCCUGCCAACCUAGCAGUUCGAAAACAUGCAAAUGUGAGUAGAUCAAUAGGUACCGCUCCGGCGGGAAAGUAACAGCGCUCCAUGCAGUCAUGCCGGCCACAUGACCUUGGAGGUGUCUACGGACAACGCCGGCUCUUUGGCUUAGAAAUGGAGAUGAGCACAGACCCCCAGAGUCGGACAUGACUGGACUGAACGUCAAGGGAAAACCUUUACCUUUUUAAAUUUGAUGUUUAAUAGGCUUUUCCUUAGUCCCUCCUUAUUAUCCAAGAUAUUCGCUUAUCCAAGCUUCUGCCGGCCCGUUUAGCUUGGAUAAGUGAGACUCUACUGUACUUCCCUUAGCCUUGCAAGCAUGUUUCCAACAUAGAUUAAGACGGGACCCCAAAGGCCAUCUAGUCCAACCCCUUGUCUGCUGUUAAAACACGAAUAUGUUCUUACAACAAGCUUGGAGACCCAGCAGUGCCCAGAUUAUUAGAAGGCAUUGUUUGUUUUGGAAUGUUAGGUAAUAUCAGUUAAGUUUGGUCCAGAUCUGUCGUUGGCUGGGAUCAGGGCUCUCUGGAUAAGGGUGAACUACAACUCCCAGAUUCCCAGAGCAAUCACCCCAAACCCUGCCAGUAUUCACAGUUGGCGUUGUUGGGUCUGUGUGCCAAGUUUGGUCCAGAUCUGACAUCAGCUGGGUUCAGUGCUUUCUGGAUGCAGGUGAACUAUAACUCCCAAAAUGAAGGUCCAUUCCCACUAACCCCUGCAGUAUGUCUAGUUGGUCAUGGCACUUCUCUGUGCCAAGUCUGAUCCCAGUCCAUUGUGGGUG